GAAAGAGAGGGAGGGGGAAGGGAGAAAGGCGGCAAAUAUAGUCAGAAAAUAAAUAAAUAAAUAAAAAGCAGGAGAGGUCUGGCUAUUUCUGAAAACCUCCUUUUUGGGCAACAAUAAUAGCACAAAAUCUAUAAAAAAAUCCCAUAAACUCUCUAUUUAUUAGUGUUAUUAUACAUGUAUAAGCACAAAAGAGAGUCAAUCUGUUCUUCUCUAUUCCUGCAUAUAUACAAGCUUGCAAAAGCAUUACCCUCAGCAACAAGGUUAUGAGGUGGGAGUAGUGAUGGAGCAAAAUUGAACUAAAAGACAGAAAAGGAGAUCUGUGUAUCUGUGGUCAAACUGCUUCUCUAAAGGUUCCAAAGUACACUAAUCGUCUUGGCAAAUUCCAUAUCCAUGCUCUUGGAACAUUAAUUGGGUUGAGGCUCGAUUCAUGAUCUGCAAAUACCUGCAUGGCAAUACAAACAUCAAUCUAUAAAAUGCGUGGCUUCAAGUUCUGGUCCACAGAAGAUGGUCAAAUUGUUGGCCAAACUUUGUAUUGAGUUAUCAUGAUUGCAGGGCUGUCAGAGCCACAAGGUACCAUCCUUUUAAGGUGGCAGGUUCAAUGGGUGACCAAUUCCCCAAAAUAUAUUCUUGGCAAUGGAAAAUCUUGUUACACCAUUGAACAAGAUGUUGUUGGACCUUAUAGGGAGGGCCUUGAGAAUAUGCUACUCUUAAAUUUAGUUGGAAGGCAGUUAGCAAGCCAAUCUACAAAAGAGCUGGCUUAAUGCGUGAUAUUGAGCACAAAAUGUCAAUGGUAAUUACCUCAUUCACUUGAAAGUAUGUGCCAUUCAGUGGAAAGCUUCCCCGCAUUGCUGUUCUACAUGGUAUCUGCAUGUGAAGUUCAGUAUGCAAAUAUAGUAGUCAUUUUUUCUCAGUUUUGCUUCAAGUUUCACCUAGUAAUCAAAUAUCAGUUAGCAAUUAUACAAGAUGGUGAGGACAUUCUUUAUGCAAGGUUGGAGCAUGCACUAGACUUGUCAUUGAUCCAUGAUAAAUUUCAGACCAUUUGUCUAGCUCUAUUUGGGUCACUCUUGCUAGCAUAUUACAUGUGCUAUUCACCUGGUGUCCAUAUUGCCAGAAGGUAUGGACUGGGAUCGUCACGCUCUCUUUUAUCCAUCUGCAAAUUUUGCAACUCACCAUUAAAAGAAAGUGAUUGAAGGAGAAUUGAGGAUGUCAAAUGAUAAAGGGGAAACUAACCCCUUUCAAGAGAGGAUGUGAAUCUGGAAGUUCAUACCUGCAUCACAAGAGAUAUGUUAGAGUGCAUGAUUCAGGACUUGUCCUUUCCAGCAUGGUUUAAUUUGAAACUUUUUACCAUUUUUUCCCUAGUAAGCAAUUUGAGAAUAUUGCUACUAGGUGAUAUGUAUGUAAAGUUGAUCGUAUGAUUGUGAUGAGUUGUGCAAACUAUCUGACUUGACUCUCUCAAGCUGUAUGCAGUCAUUCUUUUGUGAUUGCUUAUUUAGAUAAGGGAAGACUUUCACUUACACUU